rnacentral:lncRNA from 1 species
GAAAAAUAGAUGAGUAAAAUAAUUUGCAUGACUGUAAUGUUUCAAGAUGGUACUAAUUUGAACACAUCAUUCCAUGCUUCCUGGAGUAAUCACACAGCUUGCUUAGAUUUUCUAAACAUGACUGAACUGUGAUGAAGCGAUCAACAUUAACUGCCAAGACUCCACAUAGCAAUGAUGUGCUGGCCACCCACUGGGAAAACACCUGUCACCCCUUGAUGGACCUUUCUGACACUGUUUGCCUGUCCUCAAAAGUUCCUGAAAUAUUUACCAGUCAGCAUCUUGGAAAAAACAAAUAAUGGGGCCUUCUCAGAGUGAGGAAGCUUCCUGGAGGGUCAUCAGGACACUACAGAAGAGCUAAUCCAACAUGGAUCUCUAAAACUAUGCAAUUAAGACGAGUGUGGUGGCUCACACCUGUAAUGCCGGCACUUCGGGAGACCAAGGCGGUUGGAUCACUUGAGACCAGGAGUUUAAGGUCAGCCUGGGCAACAUGGCAAAACCCUGUCUCCACUAAAAAUAAAAAAAUUAGCCCUGCGUGGUGGGCAGACCUGUGGUCCCAGCUUUCAGGAGGCUGAGGCACGAGAAUUGCUUGAGCUCAGGAGGCGGAGGCUGAAGUGAGCCAAUAUCGGCAACUGCACUCCAGCCUGGGCAACAGAGCAAGACUGUGUCUCAAAAAAAUAAAUAAAAUAAAAUAAAUAAAAUAAAAUAAAGCUAUGCUAUUAGCUCAAGUAAUCUAAUUGCAUUACAUCAAUUUUAAAAAUUAUUUUCAAAAAUGUAUUUCAAUGUUAUCUGCUACCUUGCAUCACUACCUUCUUGCCCUGAUUUUCACAGCAAAAUCUUGUACAUAAGUAUCUACCAACUGUAAAAAAAAAGCCUCAGAUUAUGUUCCAUAGAUAAUGCAGAAUCAAGGCAAUUACCUGGAAAUGGAUAUCAAAAAUAAAUUUUUAUCUCAAAUAGAUAUUUUAGUAAAAAGAAGCUUGUUGUUAUAAAUUAUGUUAAUAAAAACAUAGUAGUUCACUUCAGUUUGCAUAUAUAUAGUUUCAACAUCUAGCUUGGUUUACUCCCAAGAGACAAAAUUAAGCUAAAAAAAUUUUUUUCAGAUGCCUCAUCUGUUUAGGGUUUAUUUUUCUUUUGCAGUUUAGGAUUGUGGCUGAUAUUUUAAUAAAUAAGUUAGAAAAAUAGGGUAGCAUGAAUAUUAAUUAAAACAAUUCAGAAUAUAUCAAAUAUGUAAGAGGUUAUUUGCUAUAAAACUGAUAACUAAAAGAAAGAGAAAGGAGACAGAAUUGAACUGUCACCAAGGCUCGAACUCCAUUUUCCUAGUAGCUGUUACCGAAUUGCAGAUAACACAUAAAUCUCUGUGCUGAAGUGUGAGCUCUCUAAUCAAAGGAGCAAUCUUCUGAGCAAUCCUGAAGCUCAAAGUGUUCACUCCCUUUGAGCAAACCCUGUGUAGGAAAUUCGUAUGUAGGAAAUUCAUUUUUGACACUGCUAUAAUAAGUUGUUACUCUUGCUUUCAGCUGGCUUAGUUUUAAAAUCUGUUUUAUUCUUAUUAGCUUAAAAAUAUUAUAAUUAUUAUGUGUUCCAUUAUGUUUUAUUUUCAUUUAUAAAAAAGCAUAUGUUCUAUAUCCUGAUUUUUUUCUCUUAUCAUGUUAACACCAAUGAUCUAUAUCAUAAUGUUUUUGUAGUUGCAUAAUUUGGAUAUAUCAUAGUUAUUUAGUCAUUCUAUGAGUUAACUUUCAGGCUUUUUCUCUUUUUUAUUUCUUUAGCUAUUAUUAACAAUGAUGCCAUAGUUAUCCUUAAAGAAGUAUCUUUUCAUAAUAGUACUUUUAUUUCUACAUAUUAAAUUGUGAUUCCUUUUAAACUUCUUUAAAUUUAAAUAUAUAUAUUUUUUAGCGACAAGGUCUUGUUAUGUUGCCUAGGCUGGACUUGAAUCCUGGGCUCAAGGUAACCUACCACCUUAGCCUUCCUUCAGAGUAGCUGGUACUACAGGCAUGCAACCCUACACCAGGAUACAAAUUGUGUGUUUCUUGAGUCAAAUGGUUUGAAUGCUUUUUAAAAUUUUAAGAUUACUACUCCAAAAUGAUUACUGUAUCAAAUUUUAAGUUAUAAUAAUUAUAAUUAUUUAGAAUCAUACCACCAAUGUGUGAGAGUACCCAUUUUGACAAACUCACAUAAAUCUCUGGAUAUUAUAAAUAUAGUUAGAUUUUAGUAGAUUUUUAGUUAGAUUUUAGUUAGCCAUUCCUGGCUGUGAGUGAGACAGAAUGUCUUCUUACAUGUUUGUUCGUCAUUUGUGAUCCAUUAAAACAAAUAAUCACAAAAAUAAACUUAUUUAUGGUUUUUUAUAUUUCAUUUUAGUCUUUUAAAUGAAAAACAUUAUUAGUCUGAGCUCUUUAGACACCAUUCGUUAGACAGUGCAAGCAAAGUUAACUUUCACACCUUCUGAAUUUAGAGAUGAUAUGUACAAAAUCAAUAUUCAACAAAAUCCAACAAAAUGUAAUUAGCAUCUACUUUGUGUCGGGCACUACUUUAGGCAUAAAUAUGAGUAAGAUACAGCCCCUAUCCUCAAAAUAGAGAGAUAAAGCAGUAAAUAAUUCUAAAACAAUUUGCUAAUGACAAUGUGACUUCCUUAAGGACAAGGACAAUAACUUUUUCCCUUAGUAGCUAAAAGUAAAGAACAAAGAAAGAAAUGAGCAAAGAAAUUAGUUGUGACCACAGUAUAAAAAAAGAGAAUAAGGCAUGGCCCCAGAGAUCCAGGAAAUUAUUCACUAGAAAGCCAGUUUGUAAAGUUUGAGAGUAGGAUAGGGAGUUGAGGGAGGUGGGAGAAGAAGAGAGGAGGCCUACAGGACAAAGCAGGUCUAACUCUUACAUAUCCAAAGUCAUAAACUGUGUACAAAGUGAGGGAAUAUAAAUGUUACACAAUAAUUAUUAUCUAAAAUAUAUUACUUUUCAACACUGGCCAAAUCUCCCAACCCAGUGACUGUUUUCAAACUGAGAUGAAACUUGAGGGAAGUCCUCAGUAAAAUGAUUUUACUUAUUUAACUCUAAACCUAUUUUUGAAUAGGUUUCGAAGCUUUUUCUAAUUUAGGAAAUGAAAAAAAAAUUUAAUUACUUUGAAAUUAUUCUGUAAAAAUACAAGAUGUAGUUGUUCUGUCUUUACUCAUGGGUAACGCCA